ACGGGAGGCAGCAGUGGGGAAUAUUGGGCAAUGGGCGGAAGCCUGACCCAGCAACGCCGCGUGAGGGAAGAAGGUUUUCGGAUUGUAAACCUCUGUCCUUGGUGACGAAGGAAGUGACGGUAGCCAAGGAGGAAGCCCCGGCUAACUACGUGCCAGCAGCCGCGAUAAUACGUAGGGGGCGAGCGUUGUCCGGAAUGACUGGGCGUAAAGGGCGUGUAGGCGGCGCUGUAAGUCCGGAGUGAAAGUCCUGCUUUCAAGGUGGGAAUUGCUUUGGAGACUGCAGAGCUUGAGUGCGGAAGAGGUAAGUGGAAUUCCCGGUGUAGCGGUGAAAUGCGUAGAGAUCGGGAGGAACACCAGUGGCGAAGGCGGCUUACUGGGCCGUAACUGACGCUGAGGCGCGAAAGAGUGGGGAGCGAACAGGAUUAGAUACCCUGGUA
rnacentral:rRNA from 1 species